rnacentral:rRNA from 1 species
CUCGAGGCCAGAUCUAGAGUUUGAUCCUGGCUGAGAACGAACGCUGGCGGCAUGCCUAACACAUGCAAGUCGAACGAAGGCUUCGGCCUUAGUGGCGCACGGGUGCGUAACGCGUGGGAAUCUGCCCUUGGGCUCGGAAUAACAGUGAGAAAUUACUGCUAAUACCGGAUGAUGACUUCGGUCCAAAGAUUUAUCGCCCAAGGAUGAGCCCGCGUAAGAUUAGCUAGUUGGUGAGGUAAAGGCUCACCAAGGCGACGAUCUUUAGCUGGUCUGAGAGGAUGAUCAGCCACACUGGGACUGAGACACGGCCCAGACUCCUACGGGAGGCAGCAGUGGGGAGUAUUGGACAAUGGGCGAAAGCCUGAUCCAGCAAUGCCGCGUGAGUGAUGAAGGCCUUAGGGUUGUAAAGCUCUUUUACCAGGGAUGAUAAUGACAGUACCUGGAGAAUAAGCUCCGGCUAACUCCGUGCCAGCAGCCGCGGUAAUACGGGGGGAGCUAGCGUUGUUCGGAAUUACUGGGCGUAAA